AACGAACGCUGGCGGCAUGCCUAACACAUGCAAGUCGAACGAGACCUUCGGGUCUAGUGGCGCACGGGUGCGUAACGCGUGGGAACCUGCCCUUAGGUUCGGAAUAACUCCCCGAAAGGGGUGCUAAUACCGGAUAAUGUCUUCGGACCAAAGAUUUAUCGCCUUUGGAUGGGCCCGCGUUGGAUUAGCUAGUUGGUAGGGUAAAAGCCUACCAAGGCGACGAUCCAUAGCUGGUCUGAGAGGAUGAUCAGCCACACUGGGACUGAGACACGGCCCUGACUCCUACGGGAGGCAGCAGUGGGGAAUAUUGGACAAUGGGCGAAAGCCUGAUCCAGCAAUGCCGCGUGAGUGAUGAAGGCCUUAGGGUUGUAAAGCUCUUUUACCCGGGAUGAUAAUGACAGUACCGGGAGAAUAAGCGCCGGCUAACUCCGUG
rnacentral:rRNA from 1 species